rnacentral:tRNA from 1 species
UGGCGCAGUUGGUAGAGCAUGGUGUUUGCAACACCAGGGUUGUGGGUUCGAUUUCCAC